CUGCUACCAGGAAUGUCUACUAUGAGUUCUCCAAUUUUCUCAACUUCAGUGACGGGUAAUGAUAUCGAAUACACACUUUAUUUUGGUUUAGCUUUUUACUAGUCAGCUACGCAAUGCACAAUAUAUCUCUAUGUUGACAAGUUCUCUUUUGGUUGAGUACUUUGACAUAGGCAUCUCACCUAGAGGCUUUGAUUCAAAUGUUCCUUGCAUGAUCCUUUAAUUAAUUGGCUAAAUGAUUUUGUUUUCUAAUAAAGAGUUGUCUAGGCGGUUAUAUUAUCAUGUAUUGACCUGACCUCUCAUAUAAAAUUUAUGUGCAAAUAUGACUUUGCAAAAAUAAUGGGUAGGUCACUAGGAGAUGCAGUGCAUGUGGAAGGGACUUGGAGAAUGGGGAGAAGAAACCAACUGAUCCUCAGUUGACUGGAAUUGGUUGACAUCAACACUGGCAUGGGAAAAAACAAAUAUCAUGAAGACUUUAAUCCAUGAAAAGAAAGGCUGCUACUGCCCAUGUCAAGCUUCUCUGUAAUUCCAUCAACAUUACCACUUGAGAAUAUAUGUUCUCCAUGCUGCGCCGUCACAUUUUGCUCAGGGGUUGGCUGCUUAACCCCAUUCAUGAAAGAUUUUCCUUGCCCUCUGCCUGUUCUCAAGGAUUUCUUUUCAGGAGCCACCACGUCAUUUAGGUGCUCCCCAAACUGUUGUAUCAUCACUUAGUCAGUCUGAUUGCUGUCAUGCUGCUUCUGAGUUUCAGUUGCAAUCAGCUUGCUGUAAUGAUGCUGCUGCUGGGUUCCAGAGUCAGUGUGUCUGCUGUUUGCCAAGGUUGUGUUUGCAUUCCUCACCUCUCCGUCUCCCUUUAGAGUUUGUUGUGCCACCUCUGCUACUACCAGCUCCAAUCCUAUAGGCUACAUUGUUCAGCAUGAUGACCAAGCUGGCGACAUUUGGUGCAUAUCUUCAAUAUAGAUUCAAAGCACAGCUUCAAUUUAAUGUCUCGGCCAUCCGGUAAGAUGCUCGCAUUUGUUUCCGAAGGAUGAUGAUUCACUCUAUGAUGGAUUUCUAGCAAGACAUUUGGAUGAGGUUAACAAGAUUGGCAAAAUUAAUCUUGCUUCAACUGGUGAAGAUCUAAUGGAUGAUGAAAAGCAAGAUGUUGCUAUUGAUCUAUUUGCUUCUUUGGAUACGGAGAGUUAAGCAAUCAAAGAAUGGGUGCUAAACGUUGGAAAUAACCAAAAACUUGGUAUAUUAAUGGGCUUCCUUUCCGUUGAUGAUUGGUCUAUUAUUAUUAUCCAUUUUCUGCUCUUUCUGAUCCGGUUAAACUCUACAAUGAUCUUAGAUGGAACAUUAGUAGACCCCAAGGUUUUGAAGCAGUGAUGCGUGUUAGAUGUAGCUGGGGUCUUGAAGUUCAAGAAUACUCUGGAAAAUUUUGCAAAAGUGUUCCUAGUGAUAUUGAUCUUCCUGUGUGCACUUCUUUAUACCACUGUGUAUGGGCAACGAAGGAUUUGCGUUAUUAAUCUCUCCCUUACUUGCACUGAUAAUAUCAGCAGUUUGCAGCAGUUUGUGCCAAUCCACUAAUUUGGAUGCUCAGUUUACUUGUUUGCUCAAGCAAGCUGCAUGCAGCAUCCCUGUGAGCCCUCUUUCUCAAGUAAGGCAACAAAUCACUAAUAUCUGUAUCAACAUCCUGCAUUCCCAUAGAAAAUUUUGUGCAACAAUAUCACUAUUUGCAAGGAUGAAGUCUAUGUCGACAUCCAUUGAAUCGAAAAGGAACUUGGUUGCAGCUGUGAUGAGGUUCCAGUCGCUAGUUCCCACUAGGUGUCGAGGACAAAUAUCCUUAUUCUCUUUCUUAACCAAGAUGUCAAUCUUCUUCUGCCCUAUGUUCUUCAACAAAAUCGAAUGACCAUUCUCAAGAUUCAAGACAAUCUUGUGAUUCCCCACCAAGGGUCAUCUUCUCAAGUUCUUCAUCCUCAGUCUCGAGUGACUCAUUCUUCAGCCCUAUUGAGAGAUUGGUACCUUUAUUUAUUUGAGGGGUCCUAGAUUUUUUUGGGGAUGUGAUCUUUCGUCGGAGACAUAAUAUAGAACACAACGACAAAGGAAAAUGAAACCCUUUUAGCCAUUAACAGCUUAUGUACAGGGCGAGGAUGCAGCCACUAGAGGAAGAAUGUUACUAUACACUUUUGUUAACAAUGUUGACAGUUUUCAGAAUGUGGAAUUAUUAAAUUUUCGAGGUUUACUUGAAAGAGUUAAAGGGUGUUGUGUCUGCCAUAGCUUCUCUCCAAGGUCAUUUGUUGGUUUCAUCUAGCCCUAAGAUCUCCAUGCACAAAUGGACUGGUACUGAGUUGAAUGUUAUCGAUUCCUAUGAUGCUCCUCUUUAUGUAAUGGAAUAGAAAACAUUGUCAAAAAUUUUAUCUAGUGGGAGAUAUUCACAAAAAGCAUCUAUUUUUAAAUUGGAAAGAGCAGGGUGCUCAGUUGAGCUUAUUAGCCAAGGAUUUGCUUCUCUUGAUUGUUAUGCAACUAAGUUUAUGAUAGAUGGAAGUACAUUGAGCCUUGUAGUUUCAGAUGAUAAAAAAAAUAUUCAGAUAUUCUAUAAUGCUCCAAUAACAUUAGGGUUGGAAAGGGCAGAAGCUUUUGUCUAGAGUUGAAUUUCAUGCUGGGGCCCAUGUGACAAAAUUCUUGAAGCUGUAGAUGCUCUCCAUCUCUUCUGAUCAAACCAAUAUAACUCCUGGUUAUGACAAGACCAACUGGUUCACCCUUCUAUUCAGUACACUAGAUGUGAGCAUUGGUUGUAUUGCACCAUUGGAUGAACCAUUCUGCAGACUUCAAACCCUGCAAAAAAAAAACUAGUAGAUGUUCCCCAUACAUGUGGCCUGAAUCCAAAAUCAUUUCAGUAGUUCCAUUCAAAUGGAAAGGCACAUCGUCCUAUCCAGAUAAUAUGGUUGAUUGUGAGCUUCUUUCCUAGUAAGGAUUCUUUUCUUCAUGCUUAUGAUGAGAAUAACUGGUAAAUUAGUUUCAAAGAUGUUAGGUAACUAUGGCUACUUUUUAUAUCAAAAUUAGUGCUGCUCAAAGUUCCUUUUUCCUGUGUUUUGAUGAUGGCUUGUUAAUCUAUAAUUUUUCAGGUAUAGAUUUAUUUGAUUGAUGUAUAGAUAAUAUUUUCUUUCAGAUCAGAUUUCUAUUCAAGUAACGUACAUGAUUAGGGUUGACAAAAAUCUCUUGAAACAUGUAGGAAAGCAAUUUUGUUACCCAAUUAUUCUUAUCAAAUUAAGUUUUAAGAGUAAAUGCUAUUUAUUACCCAUGAGAAAGCAAUUGCAGUGUAUAAUAUAUACAAGGAAAUAACAUUUUGAUGAGCCUUAUUUAGCAACACAGCUUGGAGAUUGGGAAAUAGGAUUAGGAAGGAGUUUGUGUUGUUUCUGAUUGGGUAGUGUUGAGUGCCCGAGUUACAUGCCAUGUUCUAUAGGCAGCAAACUGUUCCUUAUAGAAAUGAGUGGAUAAAAUUGUUGAUUUGGAGCUGCAAAUUAGCCAUAGAUUUGGUUUGGUGUGAUUCUUACUUGCCAUUCUAAAUGUUGUACAAUCUUUUCCCAUUUCUAGGUAUGAAAUGCUGCCACUAGACAAAUGGAUUGUCACGACUCGUUCACAAAUUCUUUUAAAUUUAAGUGAUCUUUCACUUGACACAAGUUUCUUGUGAUUGAAUGUGCAUUUUAAAUUAUUGAGAACUUCUCUUGCAUCAAUCUAAUGUAAUGAACUAACUUUUCCCAUGGGAUACUUUGCCCAGUGGCAUGCUAAAAGGAGGACAACUUAGUAUUCUAACUGAUCAAGUGUAAUUUGACAACGGGCCCCAGUGAUCAAGAAUGUUUUAUUGUGGACCACUACUAUCAGACCCGAUACUUUUGAGUAUACUGUCAGGGUAAUAUGCUAAAAUGCUAUUGCCAUGUGUGUAAGUCUGAGUAAGGUGCAUUUUCUUUGGAUAGAAAUACUUAUCAAAUACAUUUAUUUGUUUAGGAUAAGUCAGUUGAUGUUCGCUAGGGUGUGGAGUCAUGUAUUGUUGAAGUUCUUAGAGUCUAUGGACACAAGGCAUUAUGUGAACCUUUUUAAAAACAUUUGUUCUAAUUUUCUUGAUGACAAUGAUGACAUGGAAUAUCACCACAUUUUUCCUUCUAAUUUUGCAUACUACCAAAUGUAUGAAGGAUGUGAAGGGACCUACUUUGACAAUUGUACUUGAGUGUAAGGCAUCUAGAGUGAUUGAAGAAUUUUCAGAUUCUACAAGAGUGAUUGUGUUGGUGAUUCUACUUCUAAGUCUACUAGAAGAAUGGAAAGCUAGUAUCAAAUGUUGGCAAUGAGUGUAGACCUAGCUAUAAGAUGACUUCAAUGGUGUGCUCUUCUCUCUAGUUGAGUGAUUGCUCUAGUGGUCUGACUUCCAAGUCUACCAUGAAGAGUGGAAAGCUAGUAUCAAAUGUUGGCAAUGAGUGUAGACCUGGUAGUAAGAUGACAUCAAUGGAAGAUAGGGAGAAACUUAUUCCUCGAAGAUUUAAAUUUGAGGAGGUAGGAGCUGGAGGUUUGUUUCUCAAAAGAUCUGAAGUUAUUUUUAUUUAUUCUUUUGACAUUGGAGCUUGCAUAAGACCACCCUAGUGAUGGAAGAAAAUGUUUGAUAAGAAAUUCCUAUUGACAUUGGAUAUAUUUAUAUAUUAUAAGCUAAAAAACUUGAAGAAGUAAUUAAAAUUGUAAUAUGACAUUAUGAUCUACUUUAGUUCUUUGACCUCUUAAACAAGAGUAAAUUCAUCCAUAUCUUUGUAGCACUCUUGAAGGGGAGUCUUGGCGCAAUGGUGAAGUUGCUAUCGUGUGACCUAGAGGUCAUGGGUUUGAGUCUCGUAAAUAGCCUCUUGCAAAGCAAGGUAAGACUGCAUACAAUAGGCACUUCCUCGGGACCCCUUAUUUGGAGGAGCUUUGUGCACUAGGUUGCCCUUACUAUCUUUGCAAUACUCUUCCUUUCCUUAUUUCCUUCCUCACCACAAGUAGAUAUGUUCUUAGCGAAGAAGAGGAAAGGAAUGAUUUGUGGGUUUUAUAAAUGUUUGCGUAGAGAAAAUGGCAAAAAUGACUAGUAGCCAGUACCCAGUGGUGUCUAGCUAUUGGGUCAUAGUACUGUUAUAAAUAGGGGUGUAAACGAAUCGAAUCGAGCUGAAUAUGCAGAAAAAUUUAAGGCUCGAAUUCAGCUCGAAAUAGGUAUCAAGCUCGAUUCGAAGCUCGAAAAAUUCAAAAUGUUUGGUUCGAGUUCGGUUCGAAUUAGGGCUUGGGUUCGAGUUCAGCUCAAAAUAUUCGAACAUGUUUGCGAACUAUUCGAAUAAUUGCUCAAAAAUA